rnacentral:misc_RNA from 1 species
GGCAUCGUGAUCUCUGCCGGUAUGGCAAGAAUGAAGGGAAAUGUCUAUUUCCAUGGUGUGGACAGCUGGAUCCAAGCUGUGGAAAUAGUGCUUUAUAACGAGUUAUUUUUCUUUUAUUAUUCUUAUUAGUGAAAUUAAAUAAAAAAUCACCUUUAAUAACCAUAGAAAUUCUUGAUUCAAGGGUACAAAUACUUAAGAGUUUGCUAAUUUAUGUCAUGCCAGAGUGUGUGAGAAUAUACCCAU